CCUACGGGUGGCAGCAGUGAGGAAUAUUGGUCAAUGGGCGGAAGCCUGAACCAGCCAAGUAGCGUGCAGGAUGACGGCCCUACGGGUUGUAAACUGCUUUUAUACGGGAAUAACGCGCCUUACGUGUAGGGCUUUGCAUGUACCGUAUGAAUAAGGACCGGCUAAUUCCGUGCCAGCAGCCGCGGUAAUACGGAAGGUCCGGGCGUUAUCCGGAUUUAUUGGGUUUAAAGGGAGCGUAGGCCGCAUGUCAAGCGUGCGGUGAAAUGUCCGGGCUCAACCCGGGCCUUGCAGCGCGAACUGGCGUGAUGGAGUCCGCGGAAGGCAGGGGGAAUUGGGCGUGGAGCGGUGAAAUGCUUAGAUAUGACGAAGAACCACGAUUGCGAAGGCAGCUUGCGGCAGCGGAACGGACGCUGAUGCUCGAAAGCGCGGGUAUCGAACAGGAUUAGAUACCCUUGUAGUC
rnacentral:rRNA from 1 species